AUACUAUAUUGGUGUAGUGGUUGCACAGAUGUGCAUUAAAAGGGAACAUGGUGAAAAACCAUGACAGCCCCCGCUACUGUAAGAAGGACAGCAUCCUUAAUGAAAAUGGGAAGGAAAGGGUGCUGGAUGAUUUCAAGUCAGGAACCUGCCUUAUGCCAUCACAUAGU
rnacentral:ncRNA from 1 species